AGAAAAAAAAAAAAAAACCCGCAAAGCUCCCAGAUUUGAUGUUCUAGGAGGGCUUUUAGCAGGGAAAAAAAUAAAAUAAAAUAAAUUUAAUGCACCUGUCUAUUGCAUAUGUAUGUUUCACUGCACUCGACCUGGGCGCAGCGGUUUGCAAACAGCUUCGCAGCCGGCGCCUGAAAGCGGAUUCCUGGCCGUGGUCAGCCGGUCCCCGCCGGGGCUCCCGCUGGGUUUCCGGUAACUGGGCUUUGAAAAGCGGCCCCGCCUGCAUGGAGUGUCCCCUCGGCCCUGGCCGGGCCCCCGCGCCAGGAGAGUUGGCGCGGGCGGAGCGGCUUCAUUCCAGCACUGGCCGCCCCGACUCCAGCGCCACUUUGCAAACAAGUCUCCGGCCAAGGCUCCGGGCAAAGACAGCCCGCCGGUGCGGAGCUCCUUCCCCAGUCCCGGACUCUCAGACCUGCGGAUUCCACGACUCCCCUUUACUUGGCAAUCUCGCCCCCAGCAAACUGCGGCCGCUCAGGGAUGGGGGCAGCGCCCGACCGAGAGCGAGAGCAGGAUUUGGAUUCGGUGCCACUGGACGAGCGGCGCCCUCUCCGUCCUCGGCCCCACGAGCUGAAAUUUCGCGCCCGCGAGGAGCCAGGGCUCCUGGAGAAGGGCGUUUCGAGAUUCCCUGAGGGGACUGAGGAACGACGUUCGAGGGGCGCCAUAUUUUCAGUGGGUCUUGGCCGCGGAGGGGAGGGGGCGAACAGUUUCUGGGCCCCGGGGAUAGCGCGCUGCCCCCGUGGGAGAGGCAGGAGCGGUUUGCCCCGAGAAAGUUUGCGCGUCGAGGCCGGCGCGGAGGCGGCCGCGCAGGGUGCGCACGGCCGCUGUCCCCACAAGGGCGCGCGGGCUGCAGCGCGUCGCCAGGCCGGCCCCGCCGGGGCUGAGGGCCGAGAGCCGCCGUCAGGGACUGCGCGCUCGGCUCGCCUCUCUCCCCUGUCCUGCCGAGGCGCGCCGUUCGGGCUCCGAGGCGCAAGGAACACGCCCCUCUCCCCGCCGCCGCGGCCGCCCGGGCGCUCCACCGGAGCGGUGCGCUUGGCGGCGUCCCCCGGCCGGCCGGGCGCCGGUGCAGAGCGUUUUCCCGGCGCCAGGGUUCGUCCGGACGCCCCGCAAGGCGCGGGCGCUCACUCCCUGCGGAGAGGAGGCGCCCGGGUUCGCGGAUCAGGGCCGAGGGCCUGGCGUGCGGGCGUCCCGGGGCCGAAGAGCAGCCGGAGCCUCCUAUCGCCUCCGUGGCUGCGGCGGCGCCGGCGGCUGGCUGCGUGGUCGACUCCCGCUGAGCGCCAGCUCGUGGAGGCGAGGAUGCAUCUGGAUGCUUGUUAUGGUUUUGGAGGCAGCCUGUUACCGUGGAGGAGCCCUGGCUUUGGAGUCAUUCAUCAGUUUGGCAAAUCUUUUUCUGUGUGUCUGUGA
rnacentral:lncRNA from 1 species